UACGUAGGGGGCAAGCGUUGUCCGGAAUUAUUGGGCGUAAAGAGCGUGUAGGCGGCCAGGUAGGUCUGCUGUGAAAACUCGAGGCUCAACCUCGAGACGUCGGCGGAAACCAUCUGGCUAGAGUCCGGAAGAGGAGAGUGGAAUUCCUGGUGUAGCGGUGAAAUGCGCAGAUAUCAGGAAGAACACCCGUGGCGAAGGCGGCUCUCUGGGACGGUACUGACGCUGAGACGCGAAAGCGUGGGGAGCAAACAGG
rnacentral:rRNA from 1 species